rnacentral:rRNA from 1 species
CUAUCUGCAGUCGAGGGGCAGCACAGGUAGCAAUACUGGGUGGCGACCGGCAAACGGGUGCGGAACACGUACGCAACCUUCCUUCAAGCGGGGAAUAGCCCAGAGAAAUUUGGAUUAAUACCCCAUAAGAAUGUGGACUGGCAUCAGUCAGCAUUUAAAGAUUUAUCACUUGAAGAUGGGCGUGCGUCUGAUUAGGUAGUUGGUGAGGUAACGGCUCACCAAGCCGACGAUCAGUAACUGGCGUGAGAGCGCGACCAGUCACACGGGCACUGAGACACGGGCCCGACUCCUACGGGAGGCAGCAGUAAGGAAUAUUGGUCAAUGGACGCAAGUCUGAACCAGCCAUGCCGCGUGGAGGAUGAAGGCCCUCUGGGUUGUAAACUUCUUUUAUUUGGGACGAAACACUUCUUUUCUAAGGAGCUUGACGGUACCAGAUGAAUAAGCACCGGCUAACUCCGUGCCAGCAGCCGCGGUAAUACGGAGGGUGCAAGCGUUAUCCGGAUUCACUGGGUUUAAAGGGUGCGUAGGCGGACAUGUAAGUCCGUGGUGAAAUCUCCGAGCUUAACUCGGAAACUGCCAUGGAUACUAUAUGUCUUGAAUGUUGUGGAGGUUAGCGGAAUAUGUCAUGUAGCGGUGAAAUGCAUAGAUAUGACAUAGAACACCAAUUGCGAAGGCAGCUGGCUACACAAAUAUUGACGCUGAGGCACGAAAGCGUGGGGAUCAAACAGGAUUAGAUACCCUGGUAGUCCACGCCCUAAACGAUGAUUACUCGACAUACGCGAUACACAGUGUGUGUCUGANCGAAAGCAUUAAGUAAUCCACCUGGGAAGUACGACCGCAAGGUUGAAACU